rnacentral:rRNA from 1 species
AGUGAACGCUGGCGGUAGGCCUAACACAUGCAAGUCGAACGGCAGCACAGUAAGAGCUUGCUCUUACGGGUGGCGAGUGGCGGACGGGUGAGGAAUACAUCGGAAUCUACUUUUUCGUGGGGGAUAACGUAGGGAAACUUACGCUAAUACCGCAUACGACCUACGGGUGAAAGCAGGGGAUCUUCGGGCCUUGCGCGAUUGAAUGAGCCGAUGUCGGAUUAGCUAGUUGGCGGGGUAAAGGCCCACCAAGGCGACGAUCCGUAGCUGGUCUGAGAGGAUGAUCAGCCACACUGGAACUGAGACACGGUCCAGACUCCUACGGAAGGCAGCAGUGGGGAAUAUUGGACAAUGGGCGCAAGCCUGAUCCAGCCAUACCGCGUGGGUGAAGAAGGCCUUCGGGUUGUAAAGCCCUUUUGUUGGGAAAGAAAAGCAGCAGGUUAAUACCCCGCUGUUCUGACGGUACCCAAAGAAUAAGCACCGGCUAACUUCGUG